GUGGGGAAUAUUGGACAAUGGGCGAAAGCCUGAUCCAGCCAUGCCGCGUGUGUGAAGAAGGUCUUCGGAUUGUAAAGCACUCUAAGUUGGGAGGAAGGGUAGUAACCUAAUACGUUGCUACUUUGACGUUACCGACAGAAUAAGCACCGGCUAACUUCGUGCCAGCAGCCGCGGUCAUACGAAGGGUGCAAGCGUUAAUCGGAAUUACUGGGCGUAAAGCGCGCGUAGGUGGUUCAGUACGUUGGAAGUGAAAUCCCCGGGCUCAACCUUGGAACUGCGUUCAAAACUGCUGAGCUAGAGUACGGUAGAGGGUGGUGUAAUUUCCUGUGUAGCUGUGAAAUGCGUAGAUAUAGGAAGGAACACCAGUGGCGAAGGCGACCACCUGGACUGAUACUGACACUGUGGUGCGAAAGCGUGGGGAGCAAACAGGAUUAGAAACCCGGGUAGUCC
rnacentral:rRNA from 1 species